ensembl:lncRNA
CCAGAGGCCCUUGUGAAAGUUUUUCCUGACAGCAGUGAGGCUGAAAAUCCCCAGGCCUCCGCCUUCGUGGACUGACGAGGUCACGGCUCCCUUGCGCUGGGAUCCCGCUCUCUGCCGCCCUCUUCUGGGCGUCCGUCGCCGGCGGGCGCAGAGGGGAGCCGGCCUCGCACCGCACCCCACCCUCUUCGCUGGGUUUAGGGGGACGCUUUCCAAGGCCUAGGAUCCGAGUUUAUUGUCUCUUCGAUGCUUAUUGCAGGUCUGACACUCGCUGGAUGCCAGGAAGAGAAAAUGAAUGUAUACAUUGGCUCGCUGCUCGAAGGGGAAACUGAGGCCCAGGUGGGGGAACCCAGUGAGCUGGUUGCUCAUACAGAAUGCAGACUAUCAAGUGCCCAAGGCUUGCCCUCCCGUAGCUUCAUGGAUACGGGGAGGCGGGCGAGUCCCUGCCCUUUCCUACUCUGCAUGAACCUUUCUCAGCUCACUGGCUGGGCUGCCCUACUAAUUGGAUGGAGCAACUGGGCCAGACUGGGGAAGUGGGCGGUGAGGAGCAGAACGCAGCCUGCCUCUUCCGGGCGCCCAGGCCAGUCCUACAGCGACUUUGCUGAGCUGGCGGCCCACGCCCGGGUGCACAAUGAUGCUGACACAGACACACCCGGGAGCCUGAGGAUGAGAGAACUGAGGCUGAGAGAUACUAAGUGAUUUGAUCAAAGUUACAUUCAGGAUUCCACCCAAGCCCAUGACCUGCUGUCCUAGACUGUUGAGUUUGUCUGCUCCUGCCUUAUUGUAAAUUCAUGGAGCUGAGAUUUGUUUUAAUCACCCUUCCAUCCUGGGCACCAGAAACAGUGCUUGGCAUGUGGUUGGGCCACAAGAGGGCACCGCCUCCUUCUUGCGUGCGUCACGCCGCCUUCUUGGACACGCCCCCAGGAGGCACCUGGUCCCGGCUGCCCUGUCAGUAAAAGGAGGUGCCGGUUCUCACUGCUGGAAGAUCUGUCACCAGACUUGUCAGGGGGUGCCAAUUCCUGCUUCCCACAGGACAGAGGCCCAUGGCUUGUCUGGGCAUGUCGGGACGUAUUUUGAGAGAGUGUUAACACGUUAUGGCUGUGUUCAGAAGUGGUCUCGACGCUGAAAUUCUGGAAGAGGAGCGCGAGACCUCACACCUGUGUGUGUGUGUGUGUGUGUGUGUGUGAGCGAGUCCUUCUCACAAGGCGGAGUUCUCUGGUUGUCUCGUUCACUGCUGUGUCCCCAGCAGCAGGCGCAUACGGACGCCCAGUCAAGAAGGCUGGCAGAGGUAAAUGGAGAGGACACAGCUUUGCUGGACAUUUGCUGUUGCUCCCACCCACCCCUCCAUCCACUCCGGGGAAAUCUCAAACCACGGAGCAGAACCCGCCUGUGGGAGUCAGGAAGCUGCAUCUUAGCGAUAAUUCCCCAGGGGUGUGAGGGAACGUUCUAGAAGGACUUCAGCAGGACCAGGCCCAUGAGUUUGGAGAGGCCCCAGUGACUGAUGCUCCAAAGCUGAACAAGAACAGGGUGUGUCGUUGGGGCGUGGAGUGUGGUGGACGGCUGGGUGGUGGCGGGGGAGCUCUCCCUCCGGCCUGCCUCUUCCUCGUCCCUGUGGCUCCCCAGCUGCUGCCCUGGGCCUUGUGGGACCUUGGGCUCCUCUGCAGUGCGGCGCAGGCAUGCAGGCCUUGUUUUGGGCCUCAAAGGAGCAUCGAGGGGAGGCCCUGGGCAUCUGGGAAUCAGCAGUGGAAUAAGUGAUAGAACCUAUCUCACUGAGUUGGUGUGAAGAUUGAAUGGGACAACGCUUGUGAAAGUGUUUAACACAGUGCCUGUUUUUACUUUUGGCCGAGUCACUGAACUCGGAACAGAUCCUGGCUCUGCCUAAUGCUAUCUGGGUGACCAGGGGCUGGUCACUUCACCUCUCUGAACUUCACCAUCUCACUGACCUUCAGGAGUUUUGAGGACAAAGCCAGAUGAACAAACUGCGGUGCACAGAGGAGUCAGGACUUGCCCAGAAUCAUGAAGCAGAUAGUGACACAGAUGGGACUCAAGUCCAGUGCUUCCUCAGCGGACAUUCUGGAGAAUGGAGACACUCCCGUCCUUCCUGGUGCCUGCAGGCACCACACCACUUACCACUUACCACUUCUGGCGACGGCUGCAGAACAACUUCUCCCUUCCCGAGCUACAGUGCUUCAUCUCAGACUCCCAACUGACCAGAGAUGCAGCACUGCACCUCAGGCUGGGAGACAGGACGCCAUACCACUCUGCACCAGGGGCCGAAGGCAGGGAGUCCACCCUAGGCAGGAGAAGGGGCAUUAGAGGGGCCUCGGCUCCUCCCUCCAGCUCCUGCUCUGGAGGCUGCUGCAGCUACCCUGGGUGUGCUUCCUGUCCUCAGCCUGGCAUUUGAGCCCUCUGGGACCAAGCUUCACCCUUCCUUUUCUUUUUAAACAGUUUCAUUGAGAUAUAAUCCUCCUAUUCAAAUUACACAAUGAAAUGGUUUUUUAGUUCAGUCACAGAGUGGUGAGUUGGGUUUCCCUGAUGGCUUAGUGGGAAAGAAUCUGCCUGCAGUGCAGGAGAUGCAGGAGAUGAAGGUUUCAUCCCUGGGUUGGGAAGAUCCACCAGAGGAAGAAAUGGCAAACCACUCCGGUAUUCUUGCCUGGAAAAUUCCAUGGAUGGAAGAGAGCCUGGCAGGCUACAGUCCAUGGGGUCACAAAGAGUUGGACACGACUGAGCGUGAAUCCAACAACACAGAGUGUCACAAGCAUCACUACAGUUGUAGAACAUUUCAUCAUCCCAAAGAAUCCUCUACCGCCCCACCACCCCUCACCCUGGGUGAUAGUCUACCUUUUUGACUCCAUACCUCAUCUUUAUGCUUGGUGUAUCCCAGCCAAAUGGCACAUUCAUGGUACUUUAUAUUUUAUAUCAUCAAACAUUUGCUUCAACCUCCCACCUGGCUUCCCUUGCUUCUGCUCCCGCCAACUUCCCACCCAUCCUUCCCAGCCAUCCUCUCAGAAUGAUUUCUCAAAAUGCAAAUGUGCCCAUAUUUCUCCUGGGUUUAAAAUGGUGAAAGGUCUCCUUCUGGCUGAAUUCUAAAGCCCUUACAAAAGGCUAUAGGCCUGCGCUAUCUAGCCCAGCUGGGCUGUCCCUCUUGGGCCCCUGCCCUCUUUUUCCACUCCUCCAGGGAGUCCUGUGCCCACCACCUUGGGGUUCCCAGGAACCGUGUUACUCCCUCUCACUCCCCUGCCCAUCUCUUCUUGGUAGGAUGAGUCUCUACUUAAAUGGCCACUUUUCCUGUGAAGCCCUCUUUGACUUUUUCAGACAUCAGAAUUCCCUGGUCCACAUCCUUUGCCCUCUUUCCUUCUUUUUUAAAAGUUUAGUUAUUUGAUUGCAUUAGGUCUUAGUUUCGGCACGUGCAGUCUUCAUGCGGUACGUGGUUGUGGCAUGAGAGCUCAGCUGUUUGGUGGCAUGUGGGAUCUUAGUUCCCUGAGCAGGAAUUGAACCUGAGUGCCCUGCUUUGCAGGGCAGAUUCUCCACUACUGAACCACCAGGGAAGUCUUCUCUGCCCUCUUUCUCAUCCUUUAUUGCACUUGUGAUGGUAGAUGCUUAAUAUGUGUUGUCCGAGUGAAUGAAUCAUAUUCUUCAGCCACAUUCUCUCCAGUGUCAGAGCUCUUUGCCUCUGGGUCUGACUGGGGUAGAAGUCCAGUUCCCUGAGGACAGCACCCAUGUGUGUUUGUGGUGGGGAUCCCUGGGCCUUGUGAAGCCCUUUGUACAUAGUGAGGGACCCCAGGGAGUGCUGCUGGUAGAUGACUGAAUGGCCAUGUAGAUCAUUCAUUUUCCUCUUAAGACCUGCUUAGGUGGGAACCUCUGAGUGAGCAGGCAGAGCCCUGUACCCCCUUCUCCUGUCCCGCCAAGAUCUCAGGGCAGCCCUCCUACACUGCUGAUACCACUGUGAUGGCCUCAAUGCUGGAUGACAUGUACUUUCAGGGAUGUCUAAAGGGCGGAGGGGGCCGGCAGCCUUUUCUC